GCCUUGUAUGUUCGCCAGAGAAUAUCAAAACUCUUUUUAUUAAUGUCGUCUGAGUACUAUAUAAUAGUUAAAACUUUCAACAACGGAUCUUUCUGGUUCUGGCAUCGAUGAAGAACGCAGCGAAAUGCGAUAAGUAAUGUGAAUUGCAGAAUUCAGUGAAUCAUCGAAUCUUUGAACGCACAUUGCGCCCCUUGGUAUUCCGGGGGGCAUGCCUGUUCGAGCGUCAUUUCAACCCUCAAGCUUAGCUUGGUAUUGAGUCUAUGUCAGUAAUGGCAGGCUCUAAAAUCAGUGGCGGCGCCGCUGGGUCCUGAACGUAGUAAUAUCUCUCGUUACAGGUUCUCGGUGUGCUUCUGCCAAAACCCAAAUUUUUCUAUGGUUGACCUCGGAUCAGGUAGGGAUACCCGCUGAACUUAAGCAUAUCAAUAAGCGGAGGA
rnacentral:rRNA from 1 species